UGGGAGACAUAGGGUGCGUUCAUAAAUUCACUCUGGCUAUCUACUCCGAUUUCAGAGCACUCUCGCCAGACCACAGUAUAACUGCUGAAUUUACGAAUGCUCAACACCAGUUGAAUAUGGCCGGUGUCAGUAAACGUUGGCAAAAUGCGUAAUUAUAUUGUUGCCAAUAGCAGAGUUACAGUCACCAACGCUCUGGAUAACACGGAAACAGCCUAAUCAGCUCUACUUGGCAGGGAGACAUGCAGUGCCAGCAAAUCUUCUGCAAGAGAACCAAACAGUUGGUGGUUAUGAAGCCCUACACCACUUUCGGCAGUCUUAUCCAGCUGGCUGUUCAUCACAGACAGGACAAGACCAUUCGCCAUAAGCACAAAGAAUCUCAGCUUCCCCAGCCCACCAUGCCAACAGUUGGUAGAGCAUGGCGCUUGUAACGCCAGGGUAGUGGGUUCGAUUCCCGGGACCACCCAUAAGUAGAAUAUAUGCACACAUGACUGUAAGUCGCUUUGGAUAAAAGCGUCAGCUAAAUGGCAUAUAUUAUUAUUAUUAUUUAUUAUUAUUGCCAGUGUACCAAAGCCAGAUAAAGCACUAUGGCUGUGUUUACACAGACAGCCCAAUUCUGAUAUUUCACUAAUUGGUCUUUUGACCAAUCAGAUCAGUUCUGAAUAAGAUCUGAUGUGAAAAAAAUCUUGUGAUUAAGACCAAUUAGUGGAAAAAAUAUCAGAAUGGGGCUGCCUGUGUAAACACAGCCAGUGUAGCUCAGCAUAAGACCAUGUAGAACAAGGGUUUUGUAAAUAAACUGAACCAGGUUAUCAACCAGCUAAUUAUUAGAAUCAGAUGUGCUAGAUUAGGGCUGGAGUGAAAACAUACAGGACUGUAGCUCUCCAGGAACAGGGUUGGAGAGCCCUGAUGUAGAACCUACAUGAAAUAGAUUUUUUUUUUUUUUAUAUAUAUAUAUAUAUAUAUAUAUAUAAACACUUUUCUUUUUACCAUUAAUAACAUCCAAUUGAUUAGAAAGACAUUGUUAAUGUUGUAAAUUACUAUUAGCUGGAAACGGCUUAUUUUCUAUGGAUGAUAUACAUAGGCGUACAGAGGCCCAUUAUCAGCAACUAUCAUUCCUGUGUUCCAAUGGCACAUUGUGUUAGCUAAUCCAAGUUUAUCAUUUUAGUUAGCACUGCUGGAAAUUUGUGCUUACCCUGGCCAUUUUGAGCCUGUACUUGAACCCACAAAUUCUUAUGCUCCAGAUACUCAACUAGUCUAAAGAAGGCCAGUUUUAUUGCUUCUUUAAUCAGAACAGUUUUCAGCUGUGCUAACAUAAUUACAAAAGGGUUUUCUAAUGAUCAAUUAGGCUUUUAAAAUUAUAAACUUGGAUUAGCUAACACAACAUGCCAUUGGAACACAGGAGUGAUGGUUGCUGAUAAUGGGCAUUUGUACCAUUGUACACCUGUGUAGAUAAUUUUUUUUUUUUUUUUAUCUGUCUGGGGCAGGUCAUCAUUGUAAAAUAAUAAUUAGUUCUUAACUGACUUGCCUAGUUAAAUAAAGGUUAACAAAAAAAAAAGAUCUGGGGAAGGUUACCAAACAAAUUCUGCAGCAUUGAAGGUCCCAACAACACACUGGCCAUCAUUCUUCAAUGGAAGAAGUUUGGAACACCCAAGACUCUUCCUAGAGCUGGCCGCCCAGCCAAACUGAGCAAUCGGGGUAGAAAGGCCUUGGUCAGGGAGGUGACCAAGAACCCGAUGGUCACUCUGACUGAGUUCCAGAGUUCCUCUGUGGAGAUGGGAGAACCUUCCAGAAGGACAACCAUCCCUGCAGCACUCCACCGGCCUUUAUUGUAGAGUGGCCUGAUCGAAUCCACUGCUCAGUGAAAGGCACAUGACAGCCCACUUGGAGUUUGCCAAAAGGCACCUAAAGUCUCUCAGACCAUGAGAAAAAAAGAUCCUCUGGUCUGAUGAAACCAAGAAUGAAGUCUUUGGCCUGAAUGCCAAGUGUCACACCUGGAAGAAACCUGGCACCAUUCCUACGAUGAAGCAUGGUGGUGGCAGCAUCUUGCUGUGGGGAUGUUUUUCAGUGGCAGGAACUGGGAAACUAGUCAGGAUCAAAGGAAAGAUGAACGGAGCAAAGUACAAAGAGAUCCUUUAUGAAAACUUGGUCCAAAGUGCUUAGGACUUCAGACUGGGGCAAAGGUUCACCUUCCAACAGGACAACGAACCUAAGCACACAGCCAUGACAACGCAGGAGUGGCUUCGGGACAAUGAAUGUUCUUGAGUGGCCCAGCCAGAGCCCAGACUUUAACCCGAUCUAAAAUCUCUGGAGACUUGAAAAUAACUGUGUAGCGACGCUCCCCAUCCAACCUGUCAGAGCUUGAAAGGAUCUGCAGAGAAGAAUGGGAGAAACUCCCCAAAUACAGGUGUGCCAAGCUUGUAGUGUCAUAUUCAAGGCUGUAAUCACUGCCAGAGGUGCUUCAACAAAGUACUGAGUAAAGAGUCUGAAUUCUUAUGCAAAUGUAAUAUUUUCAGUUUUUAUUUUGAAUAGAUUUGCUAAAAUUUCCUAAAACCUGUUUUUUUCUUCGUCUUUAUUGGGUAGUGUGUAGAUUGGAGGGGGGAUUUACUCCAUUUUAGAAUAAGGCUGUAACGCAAAAGUCAAGGGGUAUGAAUACUUUCUGAAUGCACUGUAUAUCAAUCUUAAAUGUCUCUGCCUUGAGGGAUUCACAGAAUAUAUUUAUAUGCUGUACAGGGCUCUGUAGAAUCAAACAGAUGCUAGACAUUCAGAUAUCCAAAUAAUGUUAAUUUGUCAAUCUAAAAUACAGGGGUGUUUACACUAUUUAAUGCUAGUUCAAGACAACUGGGUGUUCAACAAAAAUGUUAUGGUAAAAGUAACAUACAGAAAAAUAUAGCAUGAACAGUGUAGUAAAGUUCAGUGUGUCUGAGGUGUACACCCAAGUGUAGAGUACUGUAGCUACAGAUUGUUACACCAGAUGUGAUUUACCCAAAGAUUUUAGCUGACAUCUUGUCUAUUUCAAGUCUUCUCUCAUUGAUCAAGACAGGUGGGUUUCCACCCCAAAGUGCUGCAUGUCAUGAUGAUAGAGAACUGUCUCCAUCCGUGAGAGAAGACUUGAAAUAGACAACAUGGCGGCACACAUAUUGUUGAAUUACUUCAUGAUGCAAAAACUGUUUUUAUUUUAAUAACGGAGCAUUUUCUAAAUUUAAAAACUGACCCUUGCAACUGGACACAGACAUUUUGAGACUCGCUAAGGUUGGUCCAAUUCUCUGCGCUACACCAAACAUGAUCUAUUUUGUAACUCCCAAUAAUGGAUACCAAAAAUCUUUGGUUAAAUCACAUUAUCUGGGGUAACAACUUGUACUGUAGUUAAGAGAACUGGUGGUCAUGAUUAAAAUGCCACUCACAAAGAAACAUAUACUAUGGUCAGUGUACUAAUGUUCAGGGAAUACUUGUAACGUUGUGGGAGGAGUGUUGUCAUGAUCAAACUGCCAUUCAGCUCAGGAGUCACCGAAUAAAUUAGUCUACUGUACAGUUUGAACGAUAGUUGAACUGUUCCAGCAUAACAUCAACAUUAGGGUAGACUAGUUUACAUGCAUACAUAGGCAUAUUACAUUUACAAGCUAACUUGCCAGCAAAAUCAAGUCAUACAGCACUCAUGUGUAACGUUUCCUGGUAAACCUAGCUUAGGUGGCUGGUUAUAGCUUGCUGUUUAGUAGCCAUAUCUAUGACUAAAAAGAGAAUGGGUUUUACAAUCGAGAAACAGAAGAUCUCAAAUUCUAAAAACGAUUUUAUUUUUAGUCAUAGAUAUGGCUACCAGGCGGUAGUUGUUUAGCCAACUUAGUUCGCUAGAUAAGUUAGCAAACAUAACAAUUAUUCGAUUUCCCUCCACAUUGUAACACAUUAGUGGGUUAGAAAUAUAUGUUUCAGUAGAUAUACUAAAGUCAGCUAGCUAGGUGGCUUGCAGGAAAAAUAGAUUACUUAGCCAAGCACCGUAUUAGUUAUCUGCCCUCUUGAUAGGCUGAACACAUCACAUUUUUAACAACGCUUUUUUUCUGAUUAAAAACUAGUUCAUUGCAUCCGCCGUGUAGCCCAGUUUCAUAACGUUCCCAUGUACCCCUACUGCUUGCCGUAGUUUUGAAGUAAUAUCGGAAAAUGUCCUUAUUUUCAACCCAGUCUCUCAUUAUUAAGUAUGUACAAAUAAGCACAAUGUUUUUAUGUACUAAUAGCACAAACGUAUGGCGAAUCAUACUCAAUAACGCCAGAUACGAUACAUCUGAUGCCGCGCCCUGAGUUUGUGCUAUUAGUACAAAUAAACACAACUGCUUAUUUAGUUGAAGCUAGCGAGCUAUUUUACAGUGAGAAUGCGGUACGUUAUUGGACAAGAAAUGACACAUAAUCUAGUAUUUUAUGUAUUUCGUCCACCAAAAUUCUAAUGUAUUGUAUUUUAAUCAGUUACGUAUAUUGGCUAAUCUUGUAGACAGGAAGUGAUUUUUCGCUCUGGCCAACAGUAUUAUCACAGAUAGAACAAUGAGACAGAUAUUUCACUGUAUGUAUAAAUAUGAAGCAGCCUCUUGGUGUUUCCUCUCACUACCAAAUAUGGUAGUAAGAGAGGAAGCCCACUGGCGGGCAGUGGGAGAAGAUGGAACGAGAUGGAUGAUUUUGUAAAUGGUCUCAGCGAUGAAACAUUUGAUCUCAAUACAGUUGUUUUAUGUUCCCAAAACUAGAAUAUGUUAUGAACAGAGUGGACUAAGUUUAGUAAACUUUAGCAUUUGUCAAAGUUGUUUUAAAUCGCGUUGUUUAGGAGUGCAAAGUGGAAUUGAGUUAUUGCAGGCUCGUAUUUCACAGAGAAGGCGUUCCCUUACGGAAAUAUGAAUAUGUAUGCCGAAACGAACCAAUAGGAUCUCGCUAGCUCAUGCUUGGCUUUGCCCUCCCAGCUUGCUUGUCCUGCACAAUAUGACUCAUCUGUUCCCAUUGGAAACGACAGGCUGUGGUCUAAUAGGCUGCCCACGCCGCUCCAUGCACGAGCAUUGCAAAAUAUUUAGAAAUCUAUAUUAUUCAAUUAUUGCACCUACACUGCUCGUGUGCACCAACAAGCAUCUGUGUAGCCAAGGGCUAAAAUAGAAGUCAUUCCUAUUUCUGACACAGAUCGCACUGCAAGUCCUGCCUCUCCCAUCUCCUCAUUGGUUUAUAGAAGCAGGUACCCAUGUGCCAUCUCCUCAUUGGUUAUACCCACGUAGGUGAUUGACGGACAAACUGUUGCCGGUUGUCGUGGUAAUACUAUGAAAGUUUAGAUGCCAAUCACCAUAUAAGUUAAACGAUGAAAAGGCCUGGAAGGAGGAGAGAUGACUAGAAAUUACUUGGUUGACCGUUGUUAUGUGUGGAUUAAUUGUUGGAGUAGAGGACCGUUAGGCCAGCCAACUAGAGCAUACAGGUCGCAGUGGUGGGUGGUAUAAGGUGCUUUAGUAACAAAACGGAUGGCACUGCGAUAAACUGCAUCCAGUUUGCUGAGUAGAGUAUUGGAAGCUAUUUUGUAGAUGACAUUGCCGAAGUCGAGGAUCGGUAGGAUAGUCAGUUUUACUAGGGUAAGUUUGGCAGCGUGAGUGAAGGAGGCUUUGUUGCGAAAUAGAAAGCCGACUCUAGAUUUGAUUUUAGAUUGGAGAUGUUUGAUAUGAGUCUGGAAGGAGAGUUUACAGUCUAGCCAGACACCUACAGUGCCUUGCGAAAGUAUUCGGCCCCCUUGAACUUUGCGACCUUUUGCCACAUUUCAGGCUUCAAACAUAAAGAUAUAAAACUAUUUUUUUGUGAAGAAUCAUCAACAAGUGGGACACAAUCAUGAAGUGGAACGACAUUUAUUGGAUAUUUCAAACUUUUUUAACAAAUCAAAAACUGAAAAAUUGGGCGUGCAAAAUUAUUCAGCCCCUUUACUUUCAGUGCAGCAAACUCUCUCCAGAAGUUCAGUGAGGAUCUCUGAAUUAUCCAAUGUUGACCUAAAUGACUAAGGUGUAUGUAAACUUCUGACUUAUAUGUUAUUGUAUGUUAUUAUUUAAGAUAUAUAUAAUAAUUUUAUGACAUAUCUGUCAGAGUGGAUUCUCAUCUAUUCACCCAAAAAACACAGUUAUAGUAAGUUAUCCUUAAGUUGCAUUGAUGAAGAAAUAUAACUCAAUUUUUAGGUAAUAGUUUCCAGUACCUGUACCCAUCCUCCUACAGUACCCAUGUUCCUGCACCUAAUCCCCACAAGAUACAGCUACAGUAUCCUAGAAUGUCAAACAAAUACCUUGCCAACCUUAAAGAAUGUUCAUACAGAUAUUAUUUUCAUGAGUUCUGUCAUGUUGUUUUAGUAUUAUUAUUUUUUUAUCUCCACACAACUCCCUGAUGCAGGACCUACAGGAGCUUAUGGGGAGUUUCACGGGGCCAGAUUGUCAUGUAACCCCAAAGGUGACUUAGGCAGAGAUGCAGACCUUGUGUGCAUAAAAGGGUGGUUGAAAAGAGUGAGGCAUGCUCUCUCAGGUACUGUGUUGGGCCAGUGUCAGUAUUGCAAAAGUGAGGAUGCGGUUGUGCGGCGUAGAGAGAUUGCCUGCCCAGGCAUCUUCUCUGUGCCGCAUGUGACUUGGCCACCCAUAGCACCAAGGUUUUGCACAACAGGGAAUCUUGGUUUGAAGGGUUUUAUCGCCCCUUGUCCCCAACCACCGUAACUCAUCAAGAUGAUGAGGGGUCCCUUGCCUUCCAGGAGCACGGUGUGCUUAUUGUUUUGGUGUUUCAAAUUAAAUCUGAUAGUACAUCCUGCAAUACCAACUUUUUAGUAAUGCAGCACCAUUUUCAAUGGUUCAGUAUUGAUUGAACCAUAUUUAACUAGGCAAGUGAGUUAAGAACAAAUUCUUAUUUACAAUGACGGCCUACCCCGGAACAGUGGGUUAAUUGCCUUGUUCAGGGGCAGAACAACAUUUUUACCUUGUCACCUCGAGGAUUCGAUCCAGUAACCUUUUGGUUAGUGGCCCAACGCUGUAACCACUAGGCUACCUGCCACUACAAGUAUUUACAGUCCAAAUAUAUAGAAACAUUUAUUUGGGAUUCUUUGGCGUCACAUUUUGGUUUCCACUUUGUCUUUUACCCAUGGCUGUGCCACAGUUGUGUGGUUGCACCCUGACAGUGGCAAGUGGCAAGCAGGUCAUCCUGAUUGGUAUAAUUGUUCCUGUUUCCCGGUUUUGACCAUUCUGCCUUCCCUGAGACUGCCUGCCGUUCUGUACCUUGUCACACCAGCCUGGAUUUUUGACCUCUCCCUGCCAGACUGCCAGCUGUUCUGUACCGUAUGGACUCUGAUCUGAAUUACUGACCUCUGCCUGCCCUUAACCUGUCGUUUCGCCUGCCCCCUGUUCUAGUAAACUUGUGUUACUUUGACACUCUUUGCAUCUGGGUCUUCUCCUGAAACAUGUUACCCGGGUGUCUGAGACAUUGGACAGUGGGGCUGGAUGAAUUUUGUAAAGAGUGGCUACCGGCCAGGCUCCGUGACUCACCAGACCAUCUUCACAGUGGACCACUUCAAGUCUUUUGAAGACAUGAAGGUGUUGGCCCCAGGAUGCUCCUGUCAAGCCUUUGUGGGAAUGCUUGACGGAAGAACAAAGCACUUUGACAGGUGGAAAGAUAUGUGGCGACACGUUCCAGAAAGCAUUCCUCGAGUGGACAUACGGGCGGUUUGAAAUAGACAAGCUUUGUGGAAGCGAUCUUCUACAUUGUCCUGAUGCAUGUUAUAUCAGUGGAUGGGAAUCGCAAGCAAUACUGCUUUCGGAAAGCCUCAGGACACACAGAGGUUGGAGCAACAUGGUCAGAUGUUUGGGAUUUAAACCAGCAAACCACCUCUCUAGGCUAUGUGAAUGUUGAGAAGGGCUUCUAUGAUGUCUUCCUGGAGAAACAAGAUGAUGUGUCAUCCUUCAUCAAACAUGUCCAUACAAAGACCAAUCAUUCUCAGUUUCUAUAACACUGCUUAAUGUCACCCAGUUUAGAGCUUGUUUCUUUUAAAGUUGAUAUCUGCACUUCACUGUGAUUUUAAUGUUGUAGACGCCAGGCAAAGGAGUGUGUGGCACAUCAGAGUGGACAGCGGCCAAAGACGUCAGGAAAAUUGUUUGCCAAAGUAGAGGAGGGCCUUGAGAUAGCAGUUUGCCGACACAGCGUGCUCCUCAAGGCCCUCAACAUGUACAGAAGCGAGAUAUAUGCCAAUGUACUUGCAGAAGAAGCUGUCUACUGCUGGCACGGUGGGCUUUUUCUGCUGCACUGUUGCAUGCAAAUACUGGCCAUAUUUGCAGAUAGUUGUGCAGGCGUACCCAGAGUUGGAGGAGCUUCUAAAAAGGCACCCUCUCCGCUAUUCAUGCUAAGGCACAUGAAUGGUCUUGUGAGUAUAGCACAAAUGGAGAGGCCGCAAUCAGCUUUGGUGUCGGCAACACAACCGGAGAGAAGUCGGGCAGGUGAAUAGUUUUAUAUCCAGAGUUGCUGUCACGACAAAUUACAUGUCCGAGACUGGUAAUUGUAUUAUGAUAACAUAACUAAUGCUGAAUAAGGUUUAGGAUUGCAACAUAAUUCCCUUAUUGUUGAACUAUUAAGUGGUCCUUUAUAUUUGAGCUCCAGCACACUUCAAUGAAUAAGAUAAACCUAAUUGCCCCUCCUGGACUGUCACCUUGCCACGGUGGAGAGGCUUGCAUACUCCAAUGACCCUGAGCGCUAAGCCGGAUGGGGUUUAUACUCCCGGCAGGUGCAAACAAGCCGGCCAGGUCGAAUGGUAGGAAGCAGUCCAUGGUCCUCCAUGUGAGGCUAACUACCCCAUCCCGGAAAUAAACCCAGAAACAUUGCCGAAUGGAAAACAAAUCAAUUGUCCCAAAGCAGGACAUUUCUUUGGGACACAUGUUACUGCUGAAGGGAGAAGCAGACAGUGAAGGACAUUUACUUUUUGGGAAUAACUGAUGAUGCUAUGAUAUUAUUACGGACAGAGAUUAUUACACUACAGUCAAUGGGUUGGAAUAAGAGGAAGUUCACCAACAUGGAUCGCAUGUAACACUCAUUUGAAGAAGUGGACCAAGAUGCAGCGUGGGAAUGUCAAAAGACUGGAGGAGACCAGCCUCGCGAAAAACGGGAAGAGCUAGACAUCAACACCACUGUGCUACAGGUGUGGAUUACUGAGGUCCAGCAGUGGCCUGAUGACACACUUCAGGAUCGUCAGAUGGGGCAUCUCCAGAAGAAGCUUGAAGGACUUUACCACAGUGUGAAAGAGGAAACUACUUCUACCAUUUGACAGCUCACAGGCAACUGCCAUCAAAAGGCAAUCUUCAACAGACUGAUGUUAGUGAACAGACUGCAGGAGGAAGAGAGGAUCCUGGUCCGGGAGAUGAAGAGGCACUGGGGAAGCCUACAAAGAGCAGUGGGAACUGUGGCGGCACUGUACCUACAAGAUCAGAGUAAUGCAGUGGAGUUUUCAGAGGGAGGGAAGAAUGGCCUUCUCUGCCACCUGAAGAGAAGAUUGAGUGAACUGACACAAGACCAAGUUGACACCAGGAAUACCUACCACAAGCUGAUUCUGGGAGAAGGGGAUAUUUUUUUAGGACUGAUGUAGGUGAGAACUCCGAUGAAGAUAGAAGUUCUAUUGCUGAGAGCUCAGAUGACAACUGCUAUGCUUUCUGAAAUUCUACACCACCCCUGCCUCUUUCUCUCGGUCUCGCUUUCUCCCGCAGGAGAGGGAGAAGGCCGCCAACCACCUCCCUUGGGAGCAGCCUGGUCUCCUGACGUUGACCCCUCACCUUCUGAACCCAUCCAGGGAAAUGUAAUUUGCCUGAUGAUGUGUUAGUGGAGAAGGAAUGUGUUUCCUCUCCUCAUCACCUCUCUUCCGGUCCUAGACUAUGGCAACAUCAUCUGCAACUCAUACUGUUGGUUGAGGACCACUUACUGAGGAAUGUGGUUCUUCAUUAUUGUUUAUAAGUAUUUUCUAUGCUGCCAUGAUUGGGGUUUUUGUGAGUUGCAAAAGAGUCCUUGAUCUCAAUGGGACUGCUAAAAUAAAUAAAGGUCUUAAAAAAUAA